rnacentral:lncRNA from 1 species
UUUAACAUGCCCAUAAGGCAGCUCCAACCUGGUGUCCAUCUGCUCGUCAGGCUGGUUUGCAAGGAUAACGAAAUCGUCCUCCAAGUCCAUCUGGUCUUCCUCCUCGGGCUGAUUUGCAAUGAUAACAAAAUCGUCCUCCAGCUCUGAAUCCUCAUCCUCAUACUCCAAGCUCCCGGUUGGUACCUUGCUCUGCUCACCCUCAUCAUCCGAGGUCCCAUCAUCUUCAUCCUCCGAGGUCCCAUCAUCUUCAUCCUCCGAGGUCCCAUCAUCUUCAUCCUCCGAGGUCCCAUCAUCUUCAUUCUCCAAGGCCACAAGUGGCACCACCACGCUCUCCCCCUCGUAAUCAUCGAUGGGCACCGGUGGCACCUCCCUCUCCUCAAGCAGGUCGGUGACAUCCGGGUCGAUAGCCUCCUCGACUGGGAUCAGCUCUCCCGUUGCGGCGGCAUUGUCCAGACCAACCUCAACACCACGCGCGUCGUAAGCCUACAGAGAACAGCACCGGGAUCAGACACCUGGAAGGCUAGAAGGGAUGAAAUUACGCGGCAGGGUCUAGUGAACAAACAGAUCGG